rnacentral:rRNA from 1 species
AUUGGGACUGAGACACGGCCCAAACUCCUACGGGAGGCAGCAGUGGGGAAUAUUGCACAAUGGGCGAAAGCCUGAUGCAGCGACGCCGCGUGAGGAAGAAGUAUUUCGGUAUGUAAACUCUAUCAGCAGGGAAGAAAAUGACGGUACCUGACUAAGAAGCCCCGGCUAACUACGUGCCAGCAGCCGCGGUAAUACGUAGGGGGCAAGCGUUAUCCGGAUUUACUGGGUGUAAAGGGAGCGUAGACGGCGAAGCAAGUCUGAAGUGAAAACCCAGGGCUCAACCUGGGACUGCUUUGGAAACUGUUUUGCUAGAGUGUCGGAGAGGUAAGUGGAAUUCCUAGUGUAGCGGUGAAAUGCGUAGAUAUUAGGAGGA